GAUGAAGAACGCAGCGAAAUGCGAUACGUAAUGUGAAUUGCAGAAUUCAGUGAAUCAUCGAGUCUUUGAACGCACAUUGCGCCCCCUGGUAUUCCGGGGGGCAUGCCUGUCCGAGCGUCAUUGCUGCCCUCAAGCAUGGCUUGUGUGUUGGGCCUCCGUCCUCCUCCCGGGGGACGGGCCCGAAAGGCAGCGGCGGCACCGCGUCCGGUCCUCGAGCGUAUGGGGCUUCGUCACCCGCUCUUGUAGGCCCGGCCGGCGCUUGCCGACACAUCAAUCUUUUUUCCAGGUUGACCUCGGAUCAGGUAGGGAUACCCGCUGAACUUAAGCAUAUCAAUAAGCGGAGGA
rnacentral:misc_RNA from 1 species